rnacentral:lncRNA from 1 species
GUGGGGGUCACGCUCGACCCCACGAGGACACAGAACGUGCAGGUUGGGAGGAGGGAGGAGGGGGUCACGCCGGACCCCAAGAGGAAAGCGAACAUGCAGGUUAGGAGGAGGUAGGUGGGGGUCACGCCGGACCCCAGGAGGAAAGCGAACGUGCAGGUUAGGAGGAGGGAGGAGGGGGUCACGCCGGACCCCCACCUCCCUCAGGUUGGAGGGAGGAGGAGGUUGGAGGAUGGAGAAUCUCUGUCUGGAGAAACUGUGUGUGUGUGUGUGUGUGUGUGUGUGUGUGUGUGUGUGUGUGUGUGUGUGUGUGUGUGUGUGUGUGUGUGUGCGUGUGUGUGUGUGUGUGUGGGAAUACAAGGAGGACUGUGACGUUGUGUGUUUCCAAGUUGGAAACUUGUUGUCUCCAGGUUGGAGAAAAUCCCAGGUUGGAGAAAAAAAAAACAAAACACCCAAAUUCAAAUGCUUUUGCUUUAUUUUAUUAAUUAUUUUUCUUUUUCAUAUUACACUUUGUUUGUAAAUAGUGUUACUACACUGACAACAACAAAAACAUCAACAAUAGUAUAAAUUACACGGAAUAUUAUUAGUAUUAUGAUUAUUAUUAUUAUUAUUUCAUUUUUUAAUGAACAAACAAAUUAUCUUCAGGAGCGAGGGGCGCAGUCUGAACAGCAGAAGAGCAAAUGUCUGUGGCAGAUGUAUCUCUCGCACCGAUGGCAAACGUUGUUUGUUUUGCGGUCCCUCGCGCGCGGACAAAUUUGACACCUUUUCCUCUUGCCCUUUUGCGCCCGGUCGCUAGCGGCGGAACCGAGGGCGUCGUGUUCUCCUCCGUCACCCUCAUCGUCCCCGUCUUCACCCCAGACGAGGUCUGGACAGGGAGCGGGAGGAGGACCCGCACGGGGGUCCCGAACCCCCUUCUGAAGCGUCCGCACGAGCGAGACGGACGCUUCGCCGCGAGGCGGAUGGCGCCUUUUGCGGAUGAGAGGAGUCACGAGCGCCUUGCCCAGCUGCUCUAGAAACACCCUCCUCUUGCUGCGGUUGCCGGGCAUCCAGUCCGGGUGGGCCUCCCGCCACACGACGAAAGCGUUGUAGCAAGACACGUCUAGGACGUUGUGAAACACCGCCACGGGCCAGCGCGCCGUCUUUCUCCUGCAGCUGUAGAUUCCUAUCACCUUGUCCAGGUUGUCUACGCCUCCCUUGGUGGCGUUGUAGUCUAGGACGGCAAAGGGCUUUUUGUCCCGCCGUCCUGCGUCGACGAGGAGGACAUCGUCG